AAGUUGCUUGAACAUUUCUGGAGGGACCACAGAUGUUAUGCAGAAGGCAACAGAGUUGGGUUCAAAUGAGCAGAGUAAUUCAGUUAACAAGGAGUUCAGUAGUACGAAUGCUGCUACCUCCAACACAAAGAACAGAAAAGCUGGAAAAGAGAAAAAAGAUCAGCAAGAUUGGGACAAAUUAAGGAAACAAGCAGAAUUAAAUGGAAAGAAAAGGGAAAAGACAGAAAAUACAAUGGAUUCCUUGGACUGGGAAGCCGUAAGAUGUGCAGAUGUUAAUGAGAUCGCCCAAACCAUCAAAGAGCGGGGGAUGAAUAAUAUGCUUGCAGAACGAAUCAAGGUAAAAAUAACAUUAAAUAUAAUUCUCAAAUUUGUCAGUGUGCCCGCUAGACACAGAAAACCUUUUUAGAUCAGCUGAUGUUUAUUGAGAAAUUUGUGCAGGAUUUCCUUAACAGACUGGUCAGAGAGCACGGUAGUGUUGAUCUUGAAUGGUUGAGGGACGUUCCACCUGACCAAGCAAAGUAAGCUUGCUGAACUAUCCAACCCAUUUCUAAUUAUAAAAAAUAAAUUCCCAAAAACCAAUCGCUUGCCUCGCAUGUCAUAUCAAAAUGCUACAGCUGUGUUCUACAGUAUAUGAAUAUGAUGUGCUGAAUAUGAAUAUUCUUACGUGGUUUGCAUUCCAUAACUAUGUGAUAUGUCACAGAGAGUAUCUGCUGAGCUUUCGCGGAUUGGGGUUGAAAAGCGUGGAAUGUGUGCGGCUUUUGACACUGCACCAUCUUGCUUUUCCAGUAAGUAUAUAUUAAAAAU
rnacentral:lncRNA from 1 species